rnacentral:rRNA from 1 species
UACGAAGGGGGCUAGCGUUGCUCGGAAUGACUGGGCGUAAAGGGCGCGUAGGCGGUUUGUACAGUCAGGUGUGAAAUUCCCGGGCUCAACCUGGGGGCUGCACUUGAUACGUAUGGACUGGAGUGGGGAAGAGGGUCGUGGAAUUCCCAGUGUAGAGGUGAAAUGCGUAGAUAUCGGGAGGAACACCUGUGGCGAAGGCGGCCCCCUGGUUGGAUACUGACGCUGAUACGCGAAAGCGUGGGGAGCAAACAGG